rnacentral:rRNA from 1 species
AUUGAACGCUGGCGGCAGGCCUAACACAUGCAAGUCGAACGAGUGGCGGACGGGUGAGUAAUGUCUGGGAAACUGCCUGAUGGAGGGUGAUAACUACUGGAAACGGUAGCUAAUACCGCCUACCAUCGGAUGUGCCCCGAGGGGAUGAGCUAGGAGGUGGGGUAAUGGCUCACCUGGGCGACGACCCCUAGCUGGUCUGAGAGGAUGACCAGCCACACUGGAACAGAGAGACGGUCCAGACUCCUACGGUAGGCAGCAGUGGGGAAUAUUGCACAAUGGGCGCAAGCCUGAUGCAGCCAGGCCGCGUGUAUGAAGAAGGCCUGCGGGUUGUAAAGUACGUUCAGCGAGGAGGCGUUACUCGCAGAAGAAGCACCGGCUAACUCCGUGCCAGCAGCCGCGGUAAUAC